UCCGUAGGCGGAUUGAUAAGUCAGAGGUGAAAUCCCACAGCUUAACUGUGGAACUGCCUUUGAAACUGUUAGUCUUGAGUUAUAUGGAAGUAGAUAGAAUGUGUAGUGUAGCGGUGAAAUGCGUAGAGAUUACACAGAAUACCGAUUGCGAAGGCAGUCUACUACGUAUAUACUGACGCUAAUGGACGAAAGCGUGGGGAGCGAACAGGAUUAGAUACCCUGGUAGUCC
rnacentral:rRNA from 1 species